UGGGGAAUUUUGGACAAUGGGCGAAAGCCUGAUCCAGCAAUGCCGCGUGUGUGAAGAAGGCCUUCGGGUUGUAAAGCACUUUUGUCCGGAAAGAAAUCCUUGGCUCUAAUACAGUCGGGGGAUGACGGUACCGGAAGAAUAAGCACCGGCUAACUACGUGCCAGCAGCCGCGGUAAUACGUAGGGUGCAAGCGUUAAUCGGAAUUACUGGGCGUAAAGCGUGCGCAGGCGGUUUGCUAAGACCGAUGUGAAAUCCCCGGGCUCAACCUGGGAACUGCAUUGGUGACUGGCAGGCUAGAGUAUGGCAGAGGGGGGUAGAAUUCCACGUGUAGCAGUGAAAUGCGUAGAGAUGUGGAGGAAUACCGAUGGCGAAGGCAGCCCCCUGGGCCAAUACUGACGCUCAUGCACGAAAGCGUGGGGAGCAAACAGGAUUAGAUACCCUGGUAGUCCACGCCCUAAACGAUGUCAACUAGUUGUUGGGGAUUCAUUUCCUUAGUAACGUAGCUAACGCGUGAAGUUGACCGCCUGGGGGAGUACGGUCGCAAGAUUAAAACUCAAAGGAAUUGACGGGG
rnacentral:rRNA from 1 species